rnacentral:rRNA from 1 species
GAUGAACGCUAGCUACAGGCUUAACACAUGCAAGUCGAGGGACCGGCGCACGGGUGAGUAACACGUAACCAACCUGCCCUUUACUCGGGGAUAGCCUUUCGAAAGAAAGAUUAAUACCCGAUGUAAAGGAUGGGGAUGCGUUCCAUUAGGUUGUUGGUGAGGUAACGGCUCACCAAGCCAUCGAUGGAUAGGGGUGCUGAGAGGAAGGUCCCCCGGAUUGGAACUGAGACACGGUCCAAACUCGUAGGGGAGGCAGCAGUGAGGAAUAUAGGUCAAUGGGCGUUAGCCUGAACCAGCCAAGUAGCGUGAGGGAUGAAGGCUUAUGGGUCGUAAACUUCUUUUGUAUAAGAAUAUGUAUUAUAUGAAUAAGGAUCGGCUAACUCCGUGCCAGCAGCCGCGGUAUUUC